GAUGAACGCUGGCGGCGUGCUUAACACAUGCAAGUCGAACGAUGAAGCCCAGCUUGCUGGGUGGAUUAGUGGCGAACGGGUGAGUAACACGUGAGUAACCUGCCCUUGACUCUGGGAUAAGCCUGGGAAACUGGGUCUAAUACUGGAUAUGACUUCUCAUCGCAUGGUGGGGGGUGGAAAGAUUUAUUGGUCUUGGAUGGACUCGCGGCCUAUCAGCUUGUUGGUGAGGUAAUGGCUCACCAAGGCGACGACGGGUAGCCGGCCUGAGAGGGUGACCGGCCACAGUGGGACUGAGACACGGCCCAGACUCCUACGGGCGGCAGCAGUGGGGAAUAUUGCACAAUGGGCGCAAGCCUGAUGCAGCGACGCCGCGUGGGGGAUGACGGCCUUCGGGUUGUAGACCUCUUUCAGUAGGGAAGAAGCGAGAGUGACGGUACCUGCAGAAGAGGCGCCGGCUAACUACGUG
rnacentral:rRNA from 1 species